rnacentral:rRNA from 1 species
CUACGGGGUGCAGCAGUGAGGAAUAUUGCACAAUGGGGGGAACCCUGAUGUAGCAACACCGCGUGGAGGAUGACGCAUUUCGGUGUGUAAACUCCUUUUAUAUGUCAAGAAAAUGACGGUAGCAUAUGAAUAAGCACCGGCUAACUCCGUGCCAGCAGCCGCGGUAAUACGGAGGGUGCAAGCGUUACUCGGAAUCACUGGGCGUAAAGGACGCGUAGGCGGGUUGGAAAGUCAGGUGUGAAAUCCUACAGCUUAACUGUAGAACUGCACUUGAAACUUCUAAUCUAGAGUAUGGGAGGGGGAGAUGGAAUUAGUGGUGUAGGGGUAAAAUCCGUAGAUAUCACUAGGAAUACCUAAAGCGAAGGCGAUCUCCUGGAACAUUACUGACGCUAAGGCGUGAAAGCGUGGGGAGCAAACAGGAUUAGAUACCCCGGUAGUC